CCUACGGGGGGCAGCAGUGGGGAAUAUUGCACAAUGGGGGAAACCCUGAUGCAGCGACGCCGCGUGAAGGAUGAAGUAUCUCGGUAUGUAAACUUCUAUCAGCAGGGAAGAAAAUGACGGUACCUGACUAAGAAGCCCCGGCUAACUACGUGCCAGCAGCCGCGGUAAUACGUAGGGGGCAAGCGUUAUCCGGAUUUACUGGGUGUAAAGGGAGCGUAGACGGACUGGCAAGUCAGAUGUGAAAGCCCGGGGCUCAACCCCGGGACUGCAUUUGAAACUGUCAAUCUAGAGUGUCGGAGAGGUAAGCGGAAUUCCUAGUGUAGCGGUGAAAUGCGUAGAUAUUAGGAGGAACACCAGUGGCGAAGGCGGCUUACUGGACGAUGACUGACGUUGAGGCUCGAAAGCGUGGGGAGCAAACAGGAUUAGAUACCCUAGUAGUC
rnacentral:rRNA from 1 species